AUGUGGAUUCUUGUUCCCCAAAGAGACGAGGUAGGCAGGCCAUCCGAUGGGAAGCAAGUUCAGCCUUCAGGCAGGCUGAGUACGAGUCGAGCAAAUCACACACGGUUCCCUGGAAAGGAUGCUGACAUGGCAGCUUCAACGGAGCUCCAGGAGUCUUCAGAUGAGGGGGUGGCUCGCAGUUCCUGUGAGACAUGUCUGAACACGGCUGGGCGUCAGAGCAUGGAGCCUUCGGAUGGAGAGGGUGGUUCCGGAGCGGUUUCCCACCUGCAUUUUUCAGAUGGUCAUAAUAUUUUAUACACGUUAAUAGGAGUUUCCUGAAACAAAGAGUUCCAUAGUCUAGUAGGUUCGGGAGUCACCAAAUACCAAAUGUCCUGUUUGGAGGUUCUCAAAGUAAAUCACCACAGUAGAGGCCCUGAGAAGCCCCACAGCAAAGUAAAAUGCCCCUUACCUAGCAUUUUCCAAACACGUUUGAUCCCAGAACGCUUUUUACCCGGAGAAAACAGCAUUGCAGGGGUCGAGGAAUAGGACAUUCUAACUAAGGUGUUAAUAACUGGUGAGAGAGGUAAGUAAGCCUUGUUGAUUGGAGGUCCGCUCUGGAGUGGGCAAGGGUGUCCUGGACUUGCCCUUACGGGGCGAGCAUUUAUUGGCUCUGCGUCGGGCGCUGUGCUUCAUCCUUUACCCGAGCAGAGCCUUGUUCACUUUAAUCCUUACCGCGACCACACGGCUAGGUCCCGCGCACCCAUCUUUAUAACUAAGGAACACGGGGACUAAGUAAUCAUCCCAAGGUCACGCAGUCUUUGAUGAGUAGAGAACAGAUCCCGUCCUGGCGUCCAGGUGUGCCUGUCACCAAGAUCUCUUUCCUCCACUUGGAAAGCUCUGCCGCUUCCCCACGGAGCUUUCGCGGCCUCGGCGGAGAUCUGAAUAAGGACUAGCGUGGGUCAGGAAGGUGGAAGUGGUCCCCAGGAUGCCCUGGAAUUGAACGUCUGCUGAUGGGACAGACUGGACUCGGCCAGUAUCUCCAGGGCUGGGGGCCAGGCUGAGAAAUCAGGUCUGUCCUCCUCGUGCCUCCGUGUUGAGUUGGUGCUGCCCUUCUUCCAGCUGGGGCAGAAGCAGGAUUCCCAGCUGUGAGCCCCAGAAGGAAGACAUGGGCUCCCUCACGGCGUUACUGUGUGCCAGGACCUGAGCCGGCGUCCGACAGCUCCCUGGUCUUCUUACGUGCGGUCCCCCGAUGGGCAGCAUCGGCGUUCUCUGGGUAGUUGAAAGAAAGCCAGACUCUUGGAUCCCACUUCAGAGCUCUCGGGAAUCAGAAUCUCUAAGGAUGUGGCCCAAGAAACUGUUCGAACAAGUCUUGCAGAGGAUUCUUAAACAUACGCUAGUCCAGAUCUCUCAUUUGAGAGAUGAUAAAACCAUGUCCUAGGGUAGGGACUUGAAGUGAUUGACUAAGUUCCUACAGGUAAGUAUUAGUCGAGCCAAGCGGAGUAGAUCCCUUAGUUCUACCAGCCUUCCAUAGUCCCCUCCCUGGAUUUUCCUGGGGGUGUCCUGCCUCAUCCUCUUUUUACGCAUGUGCUUUGGACGGAGCAGACUCCGUGCUCCUAGCCUUCGGGGUGUGUGGCCAGAUCCAGUCUGGUCAAACGGAGUGCCGCCAGCCUGGCCACAGAUGCUUGGUUCAGGGAUGGGUGUAUGACUCAAGCCAAGCCAAGGAGACUGGCUCUUGGGAUUUUUACUUGGGAAUCUUAGGAAAGAGUCUCUUUCCUUCCACUGAGAUUGAUAGCGAUAAGGUGAGGUAUGCAGCACCCGUGUACCAUGAAGCCCGCCCGAGUAGAAGUCUCAUCGGGAAGGUGCCUCUGGCCUCAUUUGCCCUACUCUGGCCUCCAGAACCUCGAUUUGAGCCAUCAGUUAGACUCCGGUUAGUCCAGGUACCUGCGUACACAGCUCUCAGAGGAGAUUGUUCAUGAAUAUUUUGUGAUGGCAGGCUUGCUGAGAAUGUGACCCCUCACUCUGGCUGGAGAAUUACAGGGAGUUUACUAAAUGUGAUAACCGUCACUGAGCGCUGAAAGUCAAAACGCAGCCUCUGAUGGGAAUCUUUUUUUUUUUUUUUUAAAGAUUUUAUUUACUUAUAUGACAGAGAGAGAGAGACAGCCAGUGAGAGAGGGAACACAAGCAGGGGGAGUGGGAGAGGAACAAGCAGGCUCUCAGCAGAGGAGCCUGAUGUGGGGCUCGAUCCCAGGACUCCGGGAUCACGCCCUGAGCCGAAGGCAGACGCUUAACGACUGAGCCACCCAGGCGCCCCUGAUGGGAAUCUUUCAAUCCUUCUUAGCAAGGGAGUAAUCAUCAUUCUUAACCAACGUGGCCAAGGUGUCAGUUCUGGUCUGCACUGCCCCACUAAGUGGAAGUGUGGUUGGUAGAUAUUGCUGUGGAAUUCCCUUAAACAAUCCUAGAAAGGAAGCAAUAGUUCAAGGUUUUUCUGGUAAUCAUUCUAUAUCCAAUAUCGUGUGAAUCACACAAGGACUUCUAAAUGUCAAAAUAUCCCCACUUGGAAAUGAAAAGCUUCCGUACUAUUUCAUCCCCAAUGAGUACAUGGUCUGGACACAAGGGAGAUGCUCUCCCGGCCGUGCUGUCAAACUGAAAGAAUAGCAUUUAGGGAGCACGAUGUGCCAGGUACUGUGCUCAAACUUUGGUAAUUCUCAUCUCAGGAGCCUGCAAGGAACCCUGGGAGACACUAGCUCUGGGAGCCCGCGUCCUGGGAGCCCCUCCUCUGCUCCUGACGGUGUUGUGUGCAGGAGAUGCACAGCAGCUCUCUCUAGCAUCACAUCUGCAAACCCUGGCGAUCUAACACGCAGAUCGCUACCCACGGGGUGCCGGUGUAGGUGAACAAAACUGGCAGCACGUGAGACAAAUGAUCAGCCUCCUUCUGGUCCCCUCUCCGGGCUAUUGAACUAAAUACUUGCUGGGUUAGAAUCCUCAGCAGUAAAAUGGGAGCCCAAAUCCGUCACCUCCAAAGUCUCUCUUGGCCCUGUGGUCAACAGAUAGAAUAUGAAUGCUUUGAUAUGCUUUCUUCACUGCCUCCAAAGCAGCGGGACCCCGGGGUUCCUCUGUAGGAGAGUCUCGGAAGUGGCACCCUGGUUGAAAGAUGAAAUUAGGAAACUUGAAACUCCAGCUACGUGGCUGGCAGGCUAUGUUUAUUUGGAUUAUAUGCUUAUUCAGUGUAGAUUUUAGAGGCUAGAGGUUCACAGAUCAUUAUAAUGCCCUCUCCCCAAAGCUUCCCCUGGGUGUCUCCAGAUACGGCUGUGAGAACGCCCAUUGUUGUGUUUUGAGGGUGGGGGAAGGGAAGAAAUUCCUGCUCUUGGAAAACCUUCUUUGGAUUUGGUCUGAUACUGAGGGUUUGGCUCUCCUUACAUUUCGGAGGUCAUCUCCUCCUCCAGAUAAACCCCAAAAGGUAGUGAGAGCCAGUCUGUACGUUACAAAGGAAGUACCGAGGCUUCAGCUCUGGAUCACAAUCGCUGAGCUAAAGGUAUUUUCUAUUUGUAAUAGGAUAUUAGACUUUAUUUUAAUCAGCAGGUUUUUCCUUUGAGUGCAAUCUCAGAUCUCUCUUAUGAAGGUCAUGUUAACCUUCCCCUACCAGGUCUUGGGAGAGAAAAUAGAAUUCUCUGGGAAAAGCAGUCACUUAAGAUAACAAUUGAUUGAGCGAAGCCUGGGCGGUGCAAUCAGUUACGUUUCCGACUCUUGGUUUUGGCUCCGGUCGUGAUUUCAGGAUGAAGGAGGUCGAGCCCCGGGUCAGGUUCCAGGCUCAUUGCGGAGGCUGCUUGAGACUUUCUCUCCCUCUCUCUCUGCCCCUCCCUGCUGCCUAUGCGUGUGCUCUCUCUCAAAUAUAUAAAUCUUUUAGAGCAAAAUACAGCAAUUGAUUGUUGCUCGGGAUUUGAUUGACUAGGCUGAACACCUUCUACCUGAACUGCAGGGGAUAGGAGAAUGUAAACCACGUGUGGUUUUCCACCUUUGGUGGUCAAAGCAAGGUAGCAGUGGUCUAGCAGAGCACCAGUGGUCUUAAACUCCGCUUUGUUUGGUAUUAAUAAUGUUCCCAAACCACAGGAGAUGCAAACACAGCGGUCACUAAAUGGUUUUUGCUCUGGGACGAGGUAUUUCAAUAACUCAGGUACCACCAUCUUCCUUAUACUUUAGUGGCUCAAAAGAACUCUCUGGUUACAAUGUCAGUCCCUACAGACCUUCCAGCUCUUAUUGCUGGCAUUUCCCUAAUACUUGGCGUAUUCGGGUUCUUUGGACUCAUCUCUGAAACUAUGAGCUUUCCCAGAUAAAUGAUAGAAAAGGGAAGAACUGGGCAGGGAAAUGGCAAAUAUCAUUGACGUCGGUAAAGUUUAUGGAGUUUAGUGAAGAGAAUGUUGGCUGGGGACUAUCACACUUAUCAUCACUGGGUCUUUUGAAUGUAGGUAAGUCACUUUCCCAUGUUUCUGUAAAAUCAGGGACAUCUGACUUGCCCUGUAUCCUGAGGAGAGAUGUUAGAAUUACAACAUUUUGAGUAUUCCAGAAUAUUAAUUUUUCUUCUGGAGGACAAAAGAAAGAGUCAGUCAUCACCCACUUCUGCACAAGCCACUUGGGUUUGGUUUGUGUGCUCGCAAGUCACAGAGUCUCUGCAGAAGGUUCCAGUGGAAAAGGUUUUCCUGUGAAAGCAGUGGCCCAAGGGGGAACUCCAGUCUCCUUGGUAAUUCAUAAGAGAGACGGUUCCCGUGGCCAAGUCCCCUACAGCCAUGACUGACAACAGUCUGCCAGCACUAGGGUCUCAGCUGAGGGGCUCAUGCACGGAUCGUCACACGGUUAUUCUAACAUGAAGGAAACUCAUUAUUGUCUCAUUUUCUGCUCCUCUUACUGUGACUUCUCAGUUCUUUUCCUGCUUCCAUUACACUUCCUCUGUCUCCAUCAGAGCUUCUACUUAUUAAUGGUUCUCAUGCCUCAAGACAUUG
ensembl:lncRNA